UGACGGGACCCGCACAAGCGGUGGAUGAUGUGGUUUAAUUCGAUGCAACGCGAAAAACCUUACCUACCCUUGACAUGGCAGGAAUCUCGCAGAGAUGUGAGAGUGCUCGAAAGAGAACCUGCACACAGGUGCUGCAUGGCCGUCGUCAGCUCGUGUCGUGAGAUGUUGGGUUAAGUCCCGCAACGAGCGCAACCCUUGUCAUUAGUUGCUACGAAAGGGCACUCUAAUGAGACUGCCGGUGACAAACCGGAGGAAGGUGGGGAUGACGUCAGGUCCUCAUGGCCCUUAUGGGUAGGGCUACACACGUCAUACAAUGGCCGGUACAGAGGGCUGCCAACCCGCGAGGGGGAGCCAAUCCCAGAAAACCGGUCGUAGUCCGGAUCGCAGUCUGCAACUCGACUGCGUGAAGUCGGAAUCGCUAGUAAUCGCGGAUCAGCUUGCCGCGGUGAAUACGUUCCCGGGUCUUGUACACACCGCCCGUCACACCAUGGGAGCGGGUUCUGCCAGAAGUAGUUAGCCUAACCGCAAGGAGGGCGAUUACCACGGCAGGGUUCGUGACUGGGGUG
rnacentral:rRNA from 1 species